GGACCAUGCUGUACAAAAUGGCAGCUCCUUCUCCUCAAUUCAAGUCAAAGGUUUAGCAGGAAGUUUCUUUUCAGCUUUUCAAAGCUCCGAGACUAUAAAGACCAGGGGAACAGAAACCAUGUCCCCAUCGUUCCCAACCUGUGCACCCAGGCACCCUGUGCUGCGUGAUAUUUUGAAAUUUUGAGAGAAACACAGCAACAUUUCAUCAGAUAUCACAAGAACUUCUAGCUUGAAGUAGCUCUGCUUCAAAUUUAGAUUAUGUUGCAUUUCUGUUCGUAAUAUAUUUUUUGCAAAGCUGAGUUUAGUGAUCAGUGUCAUAAAAUGCAAGUAAGCACAAAGUCAAUAUGGGAUAAAAAAUGAGGAUGGCAGUGUCUGAUUGGAUUCCAAAGAUUGAGAAUCUGCGCAGUGCCCAACAGGCACAUACAUCCCAUGAGCUGAAAAGUUCCACACUGAACACAUUCCUACAAAUGUGGCUAGAGAACAUGGUCUAGCUAAACUUCACCUUUAGGCUACCCGUGGAGGCAAGUGGGAUGUGGCUUGAAUAUCAAUAUUGGCUCGCACACAGAUUGCAUCCUCCGAACAGAGGCUCCGGAUGGCUCACCAGGCUGGCUGUGGGCUCUCCUGGCGAGGCUCGUUCUGUCUUUAAGAGGGCUCAUUCAUUUUGCAUGACAGCUCAACUUUUAAUGUAGAUCUCAUUUCAGUGUUAUCCCUACAUCAUCCUACCAUGUAAAAUAAAGUAUCUGCAUGUGCUUGAACUCGGAAUGUUUUAUAGCGUCAUGUCAGAAGUUUAUUCUUAGUUGAAUGCUUAUUCUCUCGGCAUGUGAGAUGCAUUUAUCCUAAAGCGCCAGUUAUCUUUUUACCAUUUCUUUGAGGUUGUGCUCUACUAUGGUCUUCGGGUGUCCUUCCUGAAGCAAUGGCGUCUAUAUAGUUGGUACCCCUGAGAAAUGCGUGGGAGGCAGCCAAGUUUUAUGGAAUGUCAUUUCACUGGGAAACUUCGGAUCGAAUCCCAGGUCUGCCACACAUUUGCUGUGACUUCGGCUCAGUCGGGUUUCCUCUCUGAACAUCUGCUUCCCCACCCAUCAAAUGACAAGAGGCAGAAUGUCAUUGUGGACAGAGCGUGAGCCAUAGGUUCUCACGAGACUGGGUCUGAAUUCCGGGUCCACCAUUUAUGAGCAUUCUGAACCAAGGAAGUUACACACCCUGAGUUCAAAUUUUAUUGUGUGUAAAAUACGAAUAAUGAUAUCUUCUUCAUGGGGUUGUUGAGAGAAAUAAAGGCAAUUAUGAGUAGAGUUGCCAAACAUUCUGCUUUGAACCUCGUUGUCCAGUAUUUGAACCCUUCACUGAGAGGGAAUUUUUUUAAUGGGGCCUUGAUAGUUAUAUAUACUGUUGGGGUAAGUGUUAGAGUGAUCUUAUCUUGUCAUGAUUUAGGUGCAAAUAUUUCUGCUUACUCUCUCGGCUUGUGCCUUGCUUUGCUGAUUUGCAAAUUAGAUGUUAAGUAUGAGACUUGGUUCCUCGUAAAUUCUGGUGCACAACGUAGAAUGGCGCUAUGCAGCGAAGAGCCGUUCAGACCUGCGAGCAGGCAGGUCCAAUGAAGAAAUAGUGCUGAACACUUUCAUUUUAUAAACAUACAGUGCAAGUCGGUCUUGGGUCUGCUUUCAUCUUUCUCAUUUAUUCAGCA